rnacentral:rRNA from 1 species
GAUGAACGCUGGCGGCGUGCCUAAUACAUGCAAGUCGAGCGAACGGACGAGAAGCUUGCUUCUCUGAUGUUAGCGGCGGACGGGUGAGUAACACGUGGAUAACCUACCUAUAAGACUGGGAUAACUUCGGGAAACCGGAGCUAAUACCGGAUAAUAUUUUGAACCGCAUGGUUCAAAAGUGAAAGACGGUCUUGCUGUCACUUAUAGAUGGAUCCGCGCUGCAUUAGCUAGUUGGUAAGGUAACGGCUUACCAAGGCAACGAUGCAUAGCCGACCUGAGAGGGUGAUCGGCCACACUGGAACUGAGACACGGUCCAGACUCCUACGGGAGGCAGCAGUAGGGAAUCUUCCGCAAUGGGCGAAAGCCUGACGGAGCAACGCCGCGUGAGUGAUGAAGGUCUUCGGAUCGUAAAACUCUGUUAUUAGGGAAGAACAUAUGUGUAAGUAACUGUGCACAUCUUGACGGUACCUAAUCAGAAAGCCACGGCUAACUACGUGCCAGCAGCCGCGGUAAUACGUAGGUGGCAAGCGUUAUCCGGAAUUAUUGGGCGUAAAGCGCGCGUAGGCGGUUUUUUAAGUCUGAUGUGAAAGCCCACGGCUCAACCGUGGAGGGUCAUUGGAAACUGGAAAACUUGAGUGCAGAAGAGGAAAGUGGAAUUCCAUGUGUAGCGGUGAAAUGCGCAGAGAUAUGGAGGAACACCAGUGGCGAAGGCGACUUUCUGGUCUGUAACUGACGCUGAUGUGCGAAAGCGUGGGGAUCAAACAGGCUUAGAUACCCUGGUAGUCCACGCCGUAAACGAUGAGUGCUAAGUGUUAGGGGGUUUCCGCCCCUUAGUGCUGCAGCUAACGCAUUAAGCACUCCGCCUGGGGAGUACGACCGCAAGGUUGAAACUCAAAGGAAUUGACGGGGACCCGCACAAGCGGUGGAGCAUGUGGUUUAAUUCGAAGCAACGCGAAGAACCUUACCAAAUCUUGACAUCCUUUGACAACUCUAGAGAUAGAGCCUUCCCCUUCGGGGGACAAAGUGACAGGUGGUGCAUGGUUGUCGUCAGCUCGUGUCGUGAGAUGUUGGGUUAAGUCCCGCAACGAGCGCAACCCUUAAGCUUAGUUGCCAUCAUUAAGUUGGGCACUCUAAGUUGACUGCCGGUGACAAACCGGAGGAAGGUGGGGAUGACGUCAAAUCAUCAUGCCCCUUAUGAUUUGGGCUACACACGUGCUACAAUGGACAAUACAAAGGGCAGCGAAACCGCGAGGUCAAGCAAAUCCCAUAAAGUUGUUCUCAGUUCGGAUUGUAGUCUGCAACUCGACUACAUGAAGCUGGAAUCGCUAGUAAUCGUAGAUCAGCAUGCUACGGUGAAUACGUUCCCGGGUCU